GAUGAACGCUGGCGGCGUGCCUAAUACAUGCAAGUCGAGCGAACAGACGAGGAGCUUGCUCCUCUGACGUUAGCGGCGGACGGGUGAGUAACACGUGGAUAACCUACCUAUAAGACUGGGAUAACUUCGGGAAACCGGAGCUAAUACCGGAUAAUAUAUUGAACCGCAUGGUUCAAUAGUGAAAGACGGUUUUGCUGUCACUUAUAGAUGGAUCCGCGCCGCAUUAGCUAGUUGGUAAGGUAACGGCUUACCAAGGCAACGAUGCGUAGCCGACCUGAGAGGGUGAUCGGCCACCCUGGAACUGGGCCACGGUCCAGGCUCCUACGGGAGGCAGCAGUAGGGUAUCUUCCGCAAUGGGCGAAAGCCUGGCGGAGCAACGCCGCGUGAGUGAUGGAAGUCUUCCGAUCGUAAAGCUCUGUUAUUAGGGAAGAACAAAUGUGUAAGUAACUAUGCACGUCUUGACGGUACCUAGUCAGAAAGCCCCGGCUAACUACGUG
rnacentral:rRNA from 1 species